GAUGAUACUUAUGUGACAACUGACCACCGGGUCUGAUGGAUGACUUAUGUAACCUCUGGAGAGUUACCUACAUUGUGAUCAGAAAGUACUGUGCCCGUGUGGAAAACAUUGCAGUCCUGGGCUAAAGAUAAAUUUCAUGCUUGAUAAAAAACGACCAAAAGGAGAGCAAACCACAGGAAGUACUGAAGAAAACUGGGGAGUAUUGAAGAAGACGUUCAGAAGUCUGUGUGUGAGACGCUGGUGGUCAUCACUGGAGAGCUACUGGUGUACGUGGUGAAAUGAUACGACAGCUCUACAAUAAAGAAUUGACCUCUCCUUGUCCUCAAGCAAAGGAUACCUGGUCGCCAAAGAGAUAUGUUCCUGGAUAGUCAAUAAAAUGACUGCUCUUGAAUAGGCAGGUGUGGAACCACACUCAGUCCAAUCAGUUGUGAUCAGAGUUUGGGAUCACCUGAUCCAGAGUCAGCUCAGCAGGGAGC